UUUUGGAAGCUGAGAAAAUUAUGGAUUACAGUCUUUUGGUUGGCCUUCACUUCCGUGAUGAUAAUACUUACGACAAAAUGGGGUUGUCGCCAUUUGUUUUGCGCUCUGGUAAUAAAGAUUCUUAUCGCAAUGAGAAGUUCAUGCGUGGCUGCCGCUUCCUUGAGGCGGAGCUACAGGACAGAGAUAGGAUUUUAUCUGGCCGGAAAUCUCUGAUAAGAUUGGGAGCAAACAUGCCAGCAAGAGCAGAACGGAUGGCUCGGAGGAGUGAUUUUGAUCAGUACACCCCUGGUGGGAUUA
rnacentral:misc_RNA from 1 species